rnacentral:rRNA from 1 species
GACGAACGCUGGCGGCGUGCUUAACACAUGCAAGUCGAACGGAAAGGCCCUGCUUUUGUGUGGUGCUCGAGUGGCGAACGGGUGAGUAACACGUGUGUAACCUGCCCUUGACUUUGUGAUAACUUCAGGAAACUGGGGCUAAUACCGGAUAGGAGCUCCUGCUGCAUGGUGGGGGUUGGAAAGUUUCGGCGGUUGGGGAUGGACUCGCGGCUUAUCAGCUUGUUUGUGGGGUAGUGGCUUACCAAGGCUUUGACGGGUAGCCGGCCUGAGAGGGUGACCGGCCACAUUGGGACUGAGAUACGGCCCAGACUACAACGGGAGGCAGCAGUGGGGAAUAUAGCACAAUGGGAGGAAGCCUGAUGAAGAAACGCCGCGUGGGGGAUGACGGCCUUCGGGGUGUAAACCGCUUUAGCCUGUGACGAAGAGAGAGUGACGGUAAUGGGUAAAGAAGCACCGGCUAACUACGUG